rnacentral:rRNA from 1 species
AGUGAACGCUGGCGGUAGGCCUAACACAUGCAAGUCGAACGGCAGCACAGUAAGAGCUUGCUCUUACGGGUGGCGAGUGGCGGACGGGUGAGGAAUACAUCGGAAUCUACUUUUUCGUGGGGGAUAACGUAGGGACACUUCCGCUAAUACCUCAUACGACCUACGGGUUAAAUCAGUGGAUCUUCGGACCUUGCGCGAUUGAAUGAGCCGAUGUCGGAUUAGCUAGUUGGCGGGGUAAAGGCCCACCAAGGCGACGAUCCGUAGCUGGUCUGAGAGGAUGAUCAGCCACACUGGAACUGAGACACGGUCCAGACUCCUACGGGAGGCAGCAGUGGGGAAUAUUGGACAAUGGGCGAAAGCCUGAUGCAGCCAUACCGCGUGGGUGAAGAAGGCCUUCGGGUUGUAAAGCCCUGUUAUUGGGAAAGAAAAGAAGCAGGUUAAAACCCCGCUGUUCUGACGGUACCCAAAGAAUAAGCACCGGCUAACUUCGUG